CUUACACAAACGAUCACGAAAUUUUCUUUUAUAAUAAUGAUUUUAAUUUAUAGUUUUUACAUUUUUAUGAUAAUCGUUAAGGUGUCUAAUUCAAUCAACCAAAAUUAUGCCGUGAUUCCUUAUAAUUUUUGCUAUUUAGAUGUUUCUAUGGACGGUUAUGAUUGUUACGCAAGAUAUUCGUAUACUAUUCGUCUAUUCGAUCUGCAGCUAUUGGACCCACAAGAUCUUUUUUUAUCAUCCUACA